CAGCUUACACAUGCAGUCGAGCGGGGAAGUAUAGCUUGCUAUACGACCUAGCGGCGGACGGGUGAGUAAUGCUUAGGAAUCUGCCUAUUAGUGGGGGACAACAUUCCGAAAGGAAUGCUAAUACCGCAUACGCCCUACGGGGGAAAGCAGGGGAUCUUCGGACCUUGCGCUAAUAGAUGAGCCUAAGUCAGAUUAGCUAGUUGGUGGGGUAAAGGCCUACCAAGGCGACGAUCUGUAGCGGGUCUGAGAGGAUGAUCCGCCACACUGGGACUGAGACACGGCCCAGACUCCUACGGGAGGCAGCAGUGGGGAAUAUUGGACAAUGGGCGCAAGCCUGAUCCAGCCAUGCCGCGUGUGUGAAGAAGGCCUUUUGGUUGUAAAGCACUUUAAGCGAGGAGGAGGCUACCGAGAUUAAUACUCUUGGAUAGUGGACGUUACUCGCAGAAUAAGCACCGGCUAACUCUGUGCCAGCAGCCGCGGUAAUACAGAGGGUGCGAGCGUUAAUCGGAUUUACUGGGCGUAAAGCGUGCGUAGGCGGCUUUUUAAGUCGGAUGUGAAAUCCCUGAGCUUAACUUAGGAAUUGCAUUCGAUACUGGGAAGCUAGAGUAUGGGAGAGGAUGGUAGAAUUCCAGGUGUAGCGGUGAAAUGCGUAGAGAUCUGGAGGAAUACCGAUGGCGAACGCAGCCAUCUGGCCUAAUACUGACGCUGAGGUACGAAAGCAUGGGGAGCAAACAGGAUUAGAUACCCUGGUAGUCCAUGCCGUAACGAUGUCUACUAGCCGUUGGGGCCUUUGAGCUUUAGUGGCGCAGCUAACGCGAUAGUAGACCGCCUGGGGGAGUACGGUCGCAGACUAA
rnacentral:rRNA from 1 species